rnacentral:tRNA from 1 species
GUCGGCCUGGUAGCCGGGCCUACGCUUUCGGUGACUGCCACUUAGCGCGGUUGCGGAUUGCAGAUGUGGUCUAGGGGUUCAAAUCCUCUGGUAGUCGCCA